rnacentral:rRNA from 1 species
AUUGAACGCUGGCGGCAGGCCUAACACAUGCAAGUCGAGCGAGCGGCGGGCGGGUGAGUAAUGUCUGGGACACUGCCUGAUGCAGGGGGAUUACUACUGGAAACGGUAGCUAAUACCGCAUACCAUCAGAUGUGCCCAGAGGGGAUUGGCUGGUGGGUGGGGUAACGGCCAACAUAGCAGACGCUCCCUAGCUGGUCUGAGAGGAUGACCAGCGACACUGGAAGUGAGACACGGUCAUGACUCCUCCGAGAGCCAGCAGUGGGGAAUAGUGCACAGUGGGCGCAAGCCUGAUGCAGCCAUGCCGCGCGUGUGAAGAAGGCCUUCGAGUUGUAAAGGACUUUCAGUGGGGAGGCGUUACCCGCAGAAGAAGCACCGGCUAACCCCGUGCCAGCAGCCGCGGUAAUUC